GGAUGUGAGUUGCUGGAGUUGCCGUCUGAUUGCUUUGGAAAAGUGAUGCUUGAUGGCAAUCCACUUAGCCUCAAGACGUAAUCUAAUCGACUGAAAGGUGUCAAUUUUUGGACAAGAAUCCGUUCAAUCCCGCUUCUGCUUCGAGUCGUUUAGGUGCACGUUCAAACUUCGAGGCCUGCUAAGGUUAGCCUAGCCUAGUUUAGCAGCUAACAAAGAGAAACAACGCGCCUGGGAUAAACACGUCGCCGAGCAAGCCAACAUCAAGUCCCAAAAUGUCAGAUGUCAGUCAAGCGCAUCGUCCUGAACGCCUGGAGUCUGCUCGCAUGGAAGAAGCGGAAGAGUCGCCAUACAUCAGGAAGGUGGAGGAAGAAUUUGUCCACAUUAAAGAGGAGCAGGAGGAGUACUUCAUUACACUGCAGAACCCCCAAAUUAAGGAACAGCAGCAACCUCAUCCCCUCAAAAAGGAGGAGGAGGACCCUCCAUAUGUUAUAGUGGAGGUGGUGAACAUCCCCAAGUGGACUAGUGAGCCCUUAAAGGGUGAAGAUGGAGGUCCGAGUGAAGCCAGCAGUGGGACGGAGCCUCCGAAUGGCAGCAUCAGCAGUUCAAAAGACGGGUCCCAAGCAGACAACCUCCUCGCUCGACCAUCAGAGAGUGACGACUUCACAUCACACUCGCUGUUCCGUUUCAGAAAAUAUCUUUGUGCUGAGCCAGAAUCUCCUGGCGUAAAAGAGGAUGUUGAGCUCCCCCAAAUCAAAGAGGAGCCAAAGCCCUGUCAACAAAAGCAACUUCCAAUCAAAAAGGACGAGGAGCUGCCAUAUGGUAAAAAGGAGGAGGAGGAGGAACAUAUCACCAGGUUGACGGUUGAUCCCUUGAAGAGUGAAGAUGGUCUAAGUGAGGCUGGCAGAGAGGCGGAGCCUCCAAGGCGCAGCAGAUCAACAGAAGGAUUGCAAGCAGACAUUUUCAUCGCUACAUCAGACACAAAUGCAACCACGUCACACUCACCUUACAUUGAUGAUGGUCAUAAGACAUAUCACGGUGACGACAAACUCUGGAAAUGCUUUCAGUGUGGGAAAACCUUUGCUAAUAAGUAUACUUGUCGAAUGCAUAUGAGGAGCCACACUGGUGAAAAGCCUUUUUCAAGCUCGGUUUGUGGAAAAGGUUUUGUUUCGGGGGGAAACCUAAAAAAACACAGAAGAAUCCACACUGGCGAAAAACCUUUUGCCUGCUCAAUUUGUGACAAAAGAUUCAGGCGCAACAGCCACUUGAUAUCCCACGCAAGAACCCACACUGGCGAAAAACCUUUUUCCUGCUCAGUUUGUGGUCAAGGAUUCUCUAAAAAGCAACACUUACAAAGUCACGAAAGAACCCACACUGGCGAAAAACCUUUUCCAUGCUCAGUGUGUGGUCAAAGAUUCGCUCAAAAGCGAUCCUUGAAAGAACACACAAGAACCCACACUGGUGAAAAGCCUUUUUCCUGCUCGGUUUGUGGAAAAGGUUUUGUAUCGGUGGGAAACCUAAAAAAACACACAAGAAUCCACACUGGCGAAAAACCUUUUGCCUGCUCAAUUUGUGAGAAAAGAUUCAGGCAAAACAGCAACUUGAUAUCCCACGCAAGAACCCACACUGGCGAAAAACCUUUUUCCUGCUCAGUUUGUGGUCAAGGAUUCUCUAAAAAGCAACACUUACAAAGUCACGAAAGAACCCACACUGGCGAAAAACCUUUUCCAUGCUCAGUGUGUGGUCAAAGAUACGCUCAAAAGCUCACCUUGAAAGAACACACAAGAACCCACACUGGCGAAAAACCUUUUUCCUGCUCAGUUUGUGGUCAAGGAUUCUCGAAUAAGCAACACUUACUAAGUCACGAAAGAACCCACACUGGCGAAAAACCUUUUUCCUGCUCAGUUUGUGGUCAAAGAUUCAGUCACAAGAGCACUUUAAAGCGACACACAAGAACACACACUGGUGAAAAACCUUUUUCCUGCUCAGUUUGUGGUCAAUGUUUCGCUGCAAAGAUAAACUUACAAAAACACAUAAGAACCCACACUGGCGAAAAACCUUUAGGUUAGGGUUGGGGAGUUACGUUCGUAUUCGUGGUACACUUUAUUUUUGUGAUUGCAUUUCUGUUUGGACUUUGCCGUUUUGUGUUUUACCUUUUCUGGCCAUCAAAGUCGACUGGCGUCGUUUAUAUAAUAAUCUAUUCAAACUACACUUUUCGCAUUUAAUAUUUGAAACCUCAGACCCCAAAUUCCAAAAAUUCAAAAUCAUUCAUAGAUAUUGUCAUUAAAUAAAUAUGUAAAUUUAGAAUACAUUGUUCAAUAUUGCAAAAAUAAUAGUAAUAAAAAAAAAAAUUGGCUCACAAAUGAGUUUUUUGUGUGGGGGUUAUGUAAAUAUAUAUAUUUUUUUCAAUUACUAUUACUACUCGUGAUUGGCAGUAUGAGUAUGAGAGCUAAAUAAACAAAAAUAAAGAAGAAAAAAGGACUAUGACAGUAAAGUGUUCUUACUACAAGAAUUUUAUGUUCUUAAAUAAAUAUCUAAAUAAAUAAAACAAUCAUUUCUGUAUUUAACUUUGCAGAUUAUAUAUGUUUUGUGUAGAAAAUUUUGUUUUCUGUUAAUAACAUGGUCGCCACUGGACACCUACAGGGGUCGCAUUGAAUAAGGCGUUAUUGGAAUGGAAAAGUUCACUGUUGCCAUGAUUUUUUGGUCAUGAAUUCUACACAAACUUCCUCGUCUGUGUUGGAUCCAUACUAUUCGGCUUGCCGUUUCAUUACAAAGUUAAAUGGCAUUAUUUACACUCACCGGCCACUUUAUUAGGUACACCUGUCCAACUGCUCGUUAACACUUAAUUUCUAAUAAGCCAAUCACAUGGCAGCAACUCAGUGCAUUUAGGCAUGUAGACAUGGUUUAAGACAAUAUCCUGCAGUUCAAACCGAGCAUCAGUAUGGGGAAGAAAGGUGAUUUGAGUGACUUUGAACGUGGCAUGGUUGUUGGUGCCAGAAGGGUUGGUCUGAGUAUUUCAGAAACUGCUGAUCUACUGGGAUUUUCACGCACAACCAUCUCUAGGGUUUACAGAGAUUGGUCCGAAAAAGAAAAAAUAUCCAGUGAGCGGCAGUUCUGUGGGCGGAAAUGCCUUGUUGAUGCCAGAGGUCAGAGGAGAAUGGCCAGACUGGUUCGAGCUGAUAGAAAGGCAACAGUGACUCAAAUAACCACCCGUUACAACCAAGGUAGGCAGAAGAGCAUCUCUGAACGCACAGUACGUCAAACUUUGAAGCAGAUGGGCUCCAGCAGCAGAAGACCACGCCGGGUGCCAUUCCUUUCAGCUAAGAACAGGAAACUGAGGCUACAAUUUCCACAAGCAAAUCGAAAUUGGACAAUAGAAGAUUGGGAAAACGUUGCCUGGUCUGAUGAGUCUCGAUUUCUGCUGCGACAUUCGGAUGGUAGGGUCAGAAUUUUGUGUCAACAACAUGAAACCAUGGAUCCAUCCUGCCUUGUAUCAAUGGUUCAGGCUGUUGGUGGUGGCGUAAUGGUGUGGGGAAUAUUUUCUUGGCACUCUUUGGGCCCCUUGGUACCAAUUGAGCAUCGUUGGAACGCCACAGCCUACCUGAGUAUUGUUGCUGACCAUAUCCAUCCCUUUACGACCACAAUGUACCCAACUUCUGAUGGCUACUUUCAGCAGGAUAAUGCGCCAUGUCAUAAAGCUGGAAUCAUCUCAGACUGGUUUCUUGAACAUGAGAAUGAGUUCACUGUACUCAAAUGGCCUCCACAGUCACCAGAUCUCAAUCCAAUAGAGCAUCUUCGAGAUGUGGUGGAACGGGAGAUUCGCAUCAUGGAUGUGCAGCUGACAAAUCUGCACCAACUGUGUGAUGCCAUCAUGUCAAUAUGGACCAAACUUUCUGAGGAAUGCUUCCAGCACCUUGUUGAAUCCAUGCCACGAAGAAUUGAGGCAGUUCUAAAGGCAAAAGGGGGCCCAACCCGUUACUAGCAUGGUGUACCUAAUAAAGUGGCCGGUGAGUGUAUAUCUUUUAUAUUUGUGUGUUUGUUUUAUCUGGCAGAUAGUGUAUGGUGUUAAAUCAAGGCCAAAAGUUUUGUAAUCCGAAAAAAAGAAACGAAACGAUUGGAAAAAAAAAUAUUGUUGUUGAAUCUUUCAAAAGCGAAAACAUCAUUUAUUUUUUCAGUUACAAAGUUGAUAUUUUCAGGUUCAAAUAUUUAUUUUUCACUUUCAGAUUUUAUUUUUUCGUUUCAAAUUUUUUUUUCACAUUCAAAUCUUUUUUUCGCUUUCAGAUCUUUUUUUUUUUUUUUUUUUUUUCAGAUUCAAAACUUUUGGCCGUGUUUUAACGUGGGGGGGUACGGCCUCGACGAGAGGCGUGUUGGCUUGUGAGACAGCCUAUCAAAGCAACCCCGAAUGAUGCUGCCUUCAGGAAACGUGGGUACUUUGAUGAAUAAGGACGCCACACUCGCGAGGCAGUCGUGAUCGCACAUGGUACUACGCCCAAUGUGACGUUUAAUUCUGCGCCAGUAACACGCCAGUGACGCACUAUUUACUCGCCACACCCAGCAGCGACGCAAAGAAACUGAAAACGCACCAGACCUGAGGGACGGCCGUGCCCGCCCAAGCUCGAUUAAACUGUACUGUGUAAUUUUUUAAAAAAUCUUCCACAAAAACACACACACACGGAGAGAAUGAACCCUAUAUUCCAGUGUUUUUCAACCGAUUGUGCCGUGGUGAGCAGCGAGAAAUUAUCCAAUGUUGCUUUUUUUAACAUCGUCGGGCAAAGUUGCAGUAGGAAGGAAGGAAUGGGCAAAAAGUUAUCGGUUGUGUGCAGAAGAGUCGUGUUGCGUUCAAGAACUGCUCAGAUUUCUAGCCAUCAGCCACCUUGCUCUCCGUAACAAUGUGGACCCCAGCACUUCUGUUCAUUAUUUGACUCGUCAAGAGUCGAUAUACACAAAAGUGUCCUUUCCAUUUUAUCCAUAUGUGACGACCGUUAAUCCUCCCUCUAUGUUUUAUUCCAACACAUUAUCGAGGACAGCAAGGUGGGAGAUGGCUAGAAAUCCGAGCAGUUCUUGAACGCGACACAAGCGGCUAUCUAGCGCCAUACAAGCUUGAACGUCAUCUCCAAAUGAACGCCCGUCGCUUCAGAACAAGUCGAUGGACUAUUUUGUGCGCCUUCGUGAAAACACAGAGAAAUGGGCAACUUUUUUGAGAAAAACCACAAAGGUAAAUAAGAAAGCCCUGAAAGUCAGUUACUUUGUUGCUAAAUCCGAAAAUUCCCAAACUGUGGCAGAGACGUUAAUACUACCUGCCUGCAAAGCCAUUGUCAGCGAGACGACCAGCCCUGAUGUGCUUAAAGACAUUGCUCAAGUCCCCUGAUAGUUUUUCAAGCCUAAUUGCUAAACGUUUCACACUGAGUAAGUAUAAAUACUGAGAAAUUAUUUUGUAAUUAAAUAUACUGUACAGAAAGUAAUUUUGGAACAUUUUGGUGUGUACCGCGAGAUUUUUUCCAACGUAAAAACGUACCGUGACUCUGAAAAGAUUGAAAAACACAGCUCGAGUCGUCCUAUCUAGAUCUGUCGUCAUUCAAUUCAACCAAUCAGAGCAGCGAAUGUAGGCAAUUUCUAGCCAAUCACAGAUAAGGGGGGCGGGCUGAGUAGCCGGCCAUUGGGUACUGCGAUUGGAUAGGGAUUGCUCCGGUUACAGAACAUAAUUGAGCGCCUCCUCCGUUGCUAAUUCAGAUUGGAAUGGACAUCCGUGUUUUUUUCCAAGAAACUAAAGACGAACUCAAGCCAUGACAAAGACGCGGCCGAAAGUCAACAUGAAGGGAUAGCGCUGCCACCUCCUGCAGUUUCACUGACUGACACUGUCAUCAGAAAAUAUAACGGGCGGGUCUGAAACGCACACAAUUUCAUUAGAAGACGACAGAUCCAAAGGCGAGCGAUAUUCCUUCACUUUGUGAAGGAUAAAAGGCAAUGAGACUGGAAAAGACAAAGGAGGCAACAGAUUUGCGACUCACUGCACAACGAUCCUCUCCAUCCGUUUGGGUCCAAACAAAAGCCGAUGAUUGGUGGAGACGGGUUCUUCCCAGUUUCACAGACGAGCAGCUUGUGGAGAAUUGGUUAUGCAUGCUUUUGGCGGACUCAAAAUAAGGUGGCGAUGGCUCCAAAAGUGGAAUGACUGCAUCCAUGAGAGGAUAAACUUCAUGGUGUCCAUGUGCUGUGUGCUUCACAACCUCUGUGAGAGCCACAAUGAGAUGUGAAGUGAGAGAAGGCCUAACCUGUUACUGCAGCCAGACACUGAAGUUCUACCUCCUGCUUCAGAUGCUGAAGGUGUAGCUGGUUUUCUUGCCGAUUUGCCAUUCUGUUCAUGGCGUCCAGAAGACCCUCCAUGAAACUCUGCUGCCGGAUGGCCUCUGCUAACUCUGUUGAGCUUGAAACUCCUCUGCUUCCUGUUGAGUUUGGUCUUUGAAUAGCUGCAUCAUUCAGUUAAAGCGCGCAUUGCUCUGCCUUUACAGCAGCAAGCAGUGUGUCUGUCUUUCUUCUCUUUGCUGAAAGAAAUAAAGAAAGUUGGAAACUUAUUUCUUAGCGGCAGAGGGUGCUGGAAGCUGGGCGGUGUUGGCUGAUAAUUUGUAAAUCCGGACAAGCAGGAAA